ACGCUGGCGUAACAGUUCACACUUCCGAGAUGUAAAAAUUUAAAAUAAAAGCUUUUACGCUAAUUAUUUUCUGUGAUAAUAUUUUUCAGAGCUCAUCAUCUGUGACAGCUCUUGGCUCUCCUGACUGUAACCUCUCUGUGGCAGCUUCUCACAGACUCAAUCAACUCCUCUUCCCCUCCCCCCUCAAACACAAACACAAACACACACACACACACACACACACACACACAAACACAGAGAGAGAUACCCCCUCCCAAAAGGAGAUAAAACUCAGUUUUAACUUGAGUUUAAAAGCUUUGAGCUUUGAGCAAAAGCAUUUUUUUUAAGUUCUGUUAUUGGGUGCAUAUAUAAAUCAUUUAUGCUUAAACAAGGCUUAUAAUGAAGUUAUUUGAACAGUGAAUAUCUCAGCUGCCUAAAGUCAGGGCGAAGCCACUAACCAGCUGUAGGGAUGGGUAUCAUUCGGAUUUUAUCUUUAUCCAUACAGACCCCUAUCAGUCCAGCUCAGACUGUUACUGGUUUAAGAGAGUGAAGUUUAUAGCAAUUUGCAAAAUUUGGAGAUUAGUGACAAACUAACCAGUUAGACUACAUACAGACAAGCUUUCAUUUUAGCUGUUAGUAACAGUUUGCCAUGAGCUUAACCAGCGUGCUGUGCUUCCUGUUAAACAUGUCAUGAGACUGUGGACAACGCUGAAAAUAUUACUUUACUAACUACUGGCUGAACAGGCGCUUUGACAAAGAAAAGGUAAAGGCCAGCAGCUUUUACUUUUCAAUGCACUUGUCGUCAACUUGAGUGGCUUAUAUUCAGCUGGUUCACCUCGACGCCGGUGGAUGUAGACAUGCACUUUUCCUGUUGCCGUACACUGAGUAACACGAAAAAAUCAGCUGACCCCUUGUGAAAUUUCCUAACUGAUCAAAACCAAACUGUAAAGACAGCAUCAAUCCACGCUCAGCUUUGGUCAAGGGGAGACAUAUGAGCUCAUCAUCUGUGACAGCUCUUGGCUCUCUUGACUGUAACCUCCCUGUGGCAGCUUCUCACAGACUCAAUCAACUCCUCUUCCCCUCCCCCCUCAGACACACACACACACACACACACACACACACACACACACACACACAGAGACCCCCUUCCAAAAACCCAUCAAAGAGUAAUACAAUGGCUCCAUCUAUAGGAUAAAGUCGAGAGUCGCAACAGGAAGUUACCCCAAAAUCUGAGGUUUCAAACAGGAAGUUGGGUUUCCGAACUUUGACGGGCCAGAACCGGCACACGCUUCGACCAAAACUCACAAUUUUCGGAGGACUUCUUCCAAAAAUUGUCAAGGAGGGGCUGACAACAUUUGAAGUGAAUCUGGUCACCCGUCUAGAAACUGGACAUCACACUAUAAAAUAUGUCAUUUCCUGCUAUAAAUAGGUGGCGCUACAACAAUUGUAUGAAUAUUGACAUAUGGAUGUGUGCAGAUAGGUACCAUUAACAAUCCUGUAAAGUUUGAUGCAGUUUGGACAAAGUAUGGCCGAAAUAUAGCAAAAAUAAAGCAACUUCCUGUUUCGUGGCGAGUAAUCGAACUUUGAGGGGCCAUAACUUCCACGCCCUUCAACAAAAACUCAAAAUCUGCCGCAAUUUAACAUCGUCCAUGUCUUAAGAACAUACUAUUAAGUUUUGAAGUCAAUCGGAUAAUGCGUCUAGGACUAGUUCGCGUUCAAGCGACCCCUGGAAAUGGCCAAAAACACACAAUUUUUUCACCUUCCGGUCAAAA